AUGAAGAAGAACAUCGACACGCAGGAAGACCACAAACUGUGGGGGAUCAGCCUGUUGCUAGACAACCUCAUCGAGUGCGCAGGAGUAGAUGCGUACGCCAUGUACAAAUCAUGGAACAUGAUCGACAACAUCACAAAUGGUUGCGAAAUUGCAAAAGCGCGGGAGGCUGACCACUACUACGACCAACCCUUUUGCCCCUUUUAG
rnacentral:rRNA from 1 species